CCCGGCUUAGCUCAGUUGGUAGAGCGGUGGACUGUAGAUCCACAGGUCGCUGGUUCAAAUCCGGCAGCCGGGA
rnacentral:tRNA from 2 species